rnacentral:tRNA from 1 species
AGCCUCGUGGUGUAAAAAGCUCAUCGAAUUGCAAAUUCGAAGGCGCAGGUUAGAAUCUGCCGGGGCUU